UAAUACGGAGGGAGCUAGCGUUGUUCGGAAUUACUGGGCGUAAAGCGUGCGUAGGCGGCUAUUCAAGUCAGAGGUGAAAGCCUGGAGCUCAACUCCAGAACUGCCUUUGAAACUAGAUAGCUAGAAUCUUGGAGAGGUGAGUGGAAUUCCGAGUGUAGAGGUGAAAUUCGUAGAUAUUCGGAAGAACACCAGUGGCGAAGGCGACUCACUGGACAAGUAUUGACGCUGAGGUACGAAAGCGUGGGGAGCAAACAGG
rnacentral:rRNA from 2 species